ACACAAGCAGCCCGAGCUGCGCUUCCAGACACGCCCGCCACAUGUUUUUCCCGCCAAAAACGCUCCUAGCCACAUCGCACGCAGUGAUUGGUUCUUCGUUACAGACGCGGCGCCGUCACGUGCAGCCGUUUAAUCCCUGCGAUUUGUCCCCGCCGCACGUCCUAGUUGCGUCAGCUUCGGUGUGCCGUUUGCAGUAUAGGCGCGUCUACGUUGCGCGGCAUACAGCUACUAGAUCACUUGCGCGCGCGUUCGUCAUGUCGCGACUGGAGCCCGUGAACGUGAAGCAAAGUGGAUCUCCUCGUGCCGACAGCGAAUGGGAUUUCACUGUGGGUCAUGGCUGACGUAAGUUCAAUGACACGAUUAGACGGAAGUGGGCUGGAGUCCUAGUAACAAAGCACUUUUGUUAAAAAAAAUGCUAGUCAAAUAUCUGUGUCAUCAGUCACAGUACAACCGGUCAGAAAUAAUGUGCGGCAUUUCUUUGCCUAAGCAAUAACAUGCGUUAUUGUGUUCCUGCUGUCAUGCAGUUGAGUUCCCGCUCGACGACACCGGAUCCAGUCCAUCGCAAGGUUGGUCUCCCUCCCAAGUACAAAACAAACAGGUGGAUGAACCUGUUCAAUCCCUGGUGCCGUCAAUAAGCGUAUACAAUGAGAACGUCCACUACCAUAUCUUCACAAACUGUACCAUAGAAGAGCGUCGCAGUCGGUCUCCCUACCGCGCUGCACGUGAUCGCAGCCCCAUCAACGAGCGUCGAGCAGGAAAUUCCAGGCGUCGGACUGAGUUUCAGAUUAUAGAAGAUUCAAGACGCUCGACAACCAGACGAGGAAAUAUGGAACAGCGCACGAGCAAACGUGAACACAUUGCUCGUCGCUGGGAGCAUGAUCGCUAUGACCCCGGUUAUGGACACGGUAGUCACCGGGGCACCCCCCGUCAUCGCCAGGAAGUGUUUCGCGAACGAAUUACUGGCUCAUGGAAUUCUCCUAGAAGGCAGUAUUAAACCGCCUACGGUGAUAUGCUGUUUAGAAUCGAGCAACGCGUUAGGUGGUGGUGGUGAGAAAGAAGACUUAUUCAGGAAAAUACAAGAGUUGACACCCGAAAGGGGGUGGGUACACCUAGGCGUGCUUCCUAGUUAUAAGUCUUCGUCCUAAUGACACGUUGCCUCUGCUACUGAAGCGAUCAGUUUAGACAGUGACGAAUUGAGUGAUGUUGCAGAUGUCAUAGUUUAAGCGAUGUUACGGCUCUCGAAGCCAGAUAAUUCUUUCGAUCUGCGUUGUGUCUUAGUGGAAUUGCUCCUCCACAAGGCGCCAAUGGUAAUACGAAUCGCUGCCUGGUGCACAGCUUUGCUUUCUUCGUUCGGAAGAUCUUUGCUGUCGCUACUAUAGGGAUUACUGAUAAAGAAAUGCUUAAGACACAAUUGGGAAAACAUCACUGCUCUACGUCAACAGCAGGUGCUAAUGCAAUAAUCUAGUAAUGAGGUUCAAUGUUCGAAUGCAACAUACGGUGCAUGAUAGACACCGUAGCGCUUGAGUGGACAGCUCUGGAUUAUUUCGACCUCCUGGGAUUCUUUAACGAGCAUGUAAAGCCGAGUACACUAGGCUUGAGCGUCUGGCCACAGUCAGAAUGAGACCACGGUGGCCGUGAAUUAUACCUGAAAUUUUGUGCUCAGCAUCUCAAUGUCGUCACUGCUGAACGAGCUCGGUGGAUUGGGUAAUAUGAGGUUGGAAUGAAUCGUUGUGUAGGAACGAUGCAGAACACGCGAAAAUCAUUCACCAGGCCCGGUGAAUGAGUUUCUUAUUGUGAUACGGCUCGCCAGUUUUGGUUUUGUGUAUAUUGGUAUUCGCAAUUCACAGUGAAUUGUCAUUGGUGCUUCGAGAAUGUGGUUCAGAUGUGACUAGUUUCAAUAAAUGUUUUUUUUCCUCAUCAAAUGUGUCAGUGUACUACUCGUGAGCAAAUGUAUACAGACCACGGGGGCACAUGCCAAACUAGAGUUACUGUUUUAUCGGUGAGUAGGAACGUAUAUCCUCGAACCUGCCACUGCUUCACAGCGCGAGCAGCCAGCGGACUCCGCACUCCACAAUGCCGGCACGCCUAGGGACAAACGCCUACAACACGCGCUAAGAAACCCUCUCCGUAGUGGCUAGGCAGUCAUAUAUUCAAGGAGCUAAAGACCCCAGAUUUUUGUCUCUUGCGCCUGCUCUUACUCGCGCCUGCACACAAACCGCUGGCGAUCCCUCAAAGGAACGUCUCGUUCCGUUUCAAAGUGGGUGCGGCAGAGCAGGCUGGUUCGCCCGUCCGCCGUACAUUGCAAGUUCUUCGGCUACUGCUCGUCUUGCUGCCUACUCUCGCGCCUUUUGAUGACUCGGCCAGAACGCCUUGCUUCUGAAUGCGACGUUAUACUAUCGGGAGCUCUACCCGCUGUGGUUGCUCAAUGGCUAUGGUGUUGGGUUGCUGAGCACGAGGUCACAGGAUCGAAAUGCGAAAACUCCCGUGUACUUAGAUUUAGGUGCACGUGGUCGAAAUUUCAGGAGUCCUCCACUACAGCGUUCCUCAUAAUCAGAAAGUGGUUUUGGUACGUAAAACCCCAUAAUUUAAUUUAACUUUUUUUUUUAUCUGAAGCUGCAAUACAUGCUGCCGACAUGAUGCUGCUACUUUCAUAGAAUAAAGUGUCGAUAAACUGUUGCAA